GACGAACGCUGGCGGCGUGCUUAACACAUGCAAGUCGAACGGAAAGGCCCUGCUUUUGUGGGGUGCUCGAGUGGCGAACGGGUGAGUAACACGUGAGUAACCUGCCCUUGACUUUGGGAUAACUUCAGGAAACUGGGGCUAAUACCGGAUAGGAGCUCCUGCUGCAUGGUGGGGGUUGGAAAGUUUCGGCGGUUGGGGAUGGACUCGCGGCUUAUCAGCUUGUUGGUGGGGUAGUGGCUUACCAAGGCUUUGACGGGUAGCCGGCCUGAGGGGGUGACCGGCCACAUUGGGACUGAGAUACGGCCCAGACUCCUACGGGAGGCAGCAGUGGGGAAUAUUGCACAAUGGGCGGAAGCCUGAUGCAGCAACGCCGCGUGCGGGAUGACGGCCUUCGGGUUGUAAACCGCUUUCGCCUGUGACGAAGCGUGAGUGACGGUAAUGGGUAAAGAAGCACCGGCUAACUACGUGCCAGCAGCCGCGGUGAUACGUAGGGUGCGAGCGUUGUCCGGAUUUAUUGGGCGUAAAGGGCUCGUAGGUGGUUGAUCGCGUCGGAAGUGUAAUCUUGGGGCUUAACCCUGAGCGUGCUUUCGAUACGGGUUGACUUGAGGAAGGUAGGGGAGAAUGGAAUUCCUGGUGGAGCGGUGGAAUGCGCAGAUAUCAGGAGGAACACCAGUGGCGAAGGCGGUUCUCUGGGCCUUUCCUGACGCUGAGGAGCGAAAGCGUGGGGAGCGAACAGGCUUAGAUACCCUGGUAGUCCACGCUGUAAACGGUGGGUACUAGGUGUGGGGUCCAUUCCACGGGUUCCGUGCCGUAGCUAACGCUUUAAGUACCCCGCCUGGGGAGUACGGCCGCAAGGCUAAAACUCAAAGGAAUUGACGGGGCCCCGCACAAGCGGCGGAGCAUGCGGAUUAAUUCGAUGCAACGCGUAGAACCUUACCUGGGUUUGACAUGGAUCGGGAGCGCUCAGAGAUGGGUGUGCCUCUUUUGGGGUCGGUUCACAGGUGGUGCAUGGCUGUCGUCAGCUCGUGUCGUGAGAUGUUGGGUUAAGUCCCGCAACGAGCGCAACCCUUGUUCACUGUUGCCAGCACGUUAUGGUGGGGACUCAGUGGAGACCGCCGGGGUCAACUCGGAGGAAGGUGGGGAUGACGUCAAGUCAUCAUGCCCCUUAUGUCCAGGGCUUCACGCAUGCUACAAUGGCUGGUACAGAGAGUGGCGAGCCUGUGAGGGUGAGCGAAUCUCGGAAAGCCGGUCUCAGUUCGGAUUGGGGUCUGCAACUCGACCUCAUGAAGUCGGAGUCGCUAGUAAUCGCAGAUCAGCAACGCUGCGGUGAAUACGUUCCCGGGGCU
rnacentral:rRNA from 1 species